UUUUGCAGAUCUUGAGUUAAAAUUAUACAGUGGAAUACUUCAUGAGCCUUUCAAAUCACGUGUAUAGCGCUAUGCUUUUGGACAGCCAUUUGACUCAUGGGUUUUUUAGUUCAUAAUUUAUAAUGUUCUAAUAUCUAUCACAUUUAAAAAAUAAAAAUAAAUUAAAAAACCAAGACUUGGAUCAUGAGACUUGUUAAAUCAGUUUGGCAAAAGAACUGGAACUAGAAUUAACUCACAUCAGAAAUGGGCUACUUAAGGGUAGUUUUACAUUGCCUUCCUGUCAGUUGUAGGGGAUCUUUUUGCUUUUGUGUGCAAGAAUUUGAUGGCUUUUUGUUCUGUCGAGGCCACAAAUUUCAGCAUUUCCUUCAGGAUGUCUUCAAUCAGAAUUGUAGUACUCAAUUUAGGGAUGAUUCUCGUGUUACAAGGCUAAGAAGAAUUUUAAGUCACUGCAGUUGGUGCUUGCCGAAAUAACUUUGGUACUUUGAGAUCUGUACCAAAAGAAGGUGUUAUUUGAAGCAGGUGUAUUAGUCUAACACCAUUCUUGUCCCCAUAAUAUAAUACUGAAAAUGUCAAUUUGUGCACUAAUUUAUGGACUAGUACAAGGUAAAAGACUUGAACUGGAGCAGCUUUGUCAUUUGAAACUGUGCUGAAGAAUCACAGAAUGGUAGGGGUUGGAAGGGACCUCUAGAGAUCAUCUUGUCCAAACCCCUGCCUGUGCAGGGACACCUAGAGCAGGGGGCACAGGACUGCAUCCAGGCAGGUUUUGAAUGUCUCCAGGGAAGGAGACCCCACAGCCUCUCUGGGCAGCCUGUUCCACUGCUCUGUCACCCUCACAGUAAAGAAGUUUCUGCUCAUAUUCAAGUGGAACUUCCUGUGUUCCAACUUGUGCCCAUUGACCCUUGUCCUGUCAUUGGGCUCCACUGAAAAGAGCCUAGUCCCAACAUCCUGACACCCACCCUUUAGGUGUUUAUAGGUAUUGAUGAGACCCCCCCUCAGUCUCCUCCAGGCUGAGCAAACCCAAGUCUCUCAGCCUUUCCUCAUAAGGGAGAUGCUCUCCAGUCCCCUGAUCAUCUUGGUAGCUCUCUGCUGGACUUGUUCAAGCAGUUCCAUGUCCUUCUUAAACUGGGGGGCCCAAAACUGGACACAACACUCUAAAUGUGGUCUCACUAGGGCAGAGUAGAGGGGGAGGAUAACCUCCCUCGACAUGCGGGCCACACUCCUUUUAAUACAGCGCAUAAGUAGUAGUGGAAUAGAGGCAGUGAAUAAUGUGGUAGAGGUAAAGAGGUGGUGCUGGCAGCAGUAGUAGAAGUAGUGAAUGAUGUAGUAAUAAUAUGUAUUCUUUUUCUGAGUAUUCAUCACUAGUGGUUGCAUUCUGUAGGUAAAUCAUAUGUUUGUUGCAUUAAUAUUGUCACUGACAUGUCACAAGGCAUGUCUGAAGAACACGGCUGUUGCAGUCUUGGAGCACCAUGUCUUUGAUGACUAGAAGGUGAUGGAGGUGCUUUUGCUAAAUUUGAACUUUUUGUGCAGGAUUAUUUUCUCCUGGGACGUUUUUUGUUUCAUUUUUGGUUUUACUGUAAAUAAUUCUGCAGAAGUUAAAAGCAAAUUAAAUAUUUAUUCCUU